GAGUUUGAUCAUGGCUCAGGAUGAACGCUAGCGGCAGGCUUAACACAUGCAAGUCGAACGGUAACAUUGGUGCUUGCACCAGAUGACGAGUGGCGCACGGGUGCGUAACGCGUAUGCAAUCUACCUUUUACUGAAGAAUAGCCCAGAGAAAUUUGGAAUAAUCCUUCAUAAUAUCAUUUAUCAGCAUUGAUUUAUGAUUAAAGCUCCGGCGGUAAAAGAUGAGCAUGCGUCCUAUUAGUUUGUUGGUGAGGUAACGGCUCACCAAGACUACGAUAGGUAGGGGCCCUGAGAGGGGGAUCCCCCACACUGGUACUGAGACACGGACCAGACUCCUACGGGAGGCAGCAGUGAGGAAUAUUGGACAAUGGAGGCAACUCUGAUCCAGCCAUGCCGCGUGCAGGAUGACUGCCCUAUGGGUUGUAAACUGCUUUUAUAUAGGAAGAAACACUCCCACGUGUGGGGGCUUGACGGUACUAUAUGAAUAAGGAUCGGCUAACUCCGUGCCAGCAGCCGCGGUAAUACGGAGG
rnacentral:rRNA from 1 species